UACGGAGGGUGCAAACGUUGCUCGGAAUCAUUGGGCGUAAAGAGCGUGUAGGCGGCCAGUCAGGUCCGUUGUGAAAACUCGAGGCUCAACCUCGAGACGCCGAUGGAAACCGACUGGCUAGAGUCCGGAAGAGGAGAGUGGAAUUCCCGGUGUAGCGGUGAAAUGCGCAGAUAUCGGGAAGAACACCCGUGGCUAAGGCGGCUCUCUAGUACGGUACUGACGCUGAGACGCGAAAGCGUGGGGAGCGAACAGG
rnacentral:rRNA from 1 species